GACGAACGCUGGCGGCGUGCCUAAUACAUGCAAGUCGAACGCACUCUCGUUUAGAUUGACGGAGUUUGCUCCUGAUUGAUAAACAUUUGAGUGAGUGGCGGACGGGUGAGUAACACGUGGGUAACCUGCCCUAAAGUGGGGGAUCACAUUUGGAAACAGAUGCUCAUACCGCAUAAAACCUAACACCGCAUGGUGUAGGGUUGAAAGAUGGUUUCGGCUAUCACUUUAGGAUGGACCCGCGGUGCAUUAGUUAGUUGGUGAGGUAAAGGCUCACCAAGACCGUGAUGCAUAGCCGACCUGAGAGGGUAAUCGGCCACACUGGGACUGAGACACGGCCCAGACUCCUACGGGAGGCAGCAGUAGGGAAUCUUCCACAAUGGACGAAAGUCUGAUGGAGCAACGCCGCGUGAGUGAAGAAGGUUUUCGGAUCGUAAAACUCUGUUGUUGGAGAAGAAUGUAUCUGAUAGUAACUGAUCAGGUAGUGACGGUAUCCAACCAGAAAGCCACGGCUAACUACGUG
rnacentral:rRNA from 1 species